AACGGAUGCUCCCUGGCACAGGGUUCUGAGUCCUGAGCAAGAUCGGGGAAAUGACUCACUUAAAAGAAGUCUUUAUCAACCACAGCAGAAUCCACAGUUAUAUGGCUUCUGGGAAUUUCCAGGUUUUCAGGUGCUAAGUGAGGGAGGAAGAGGGUAUGAAGCCUCCUGGCACAGAGUUGCUGGCAAUGCUCUGCCCUGCUGGCCCUGCUGCCUUCACCAUCAGCCACUCAGGUAUAGAAAAUGCAGCUACCUCUUAGGAGUCCAGAGAGGAGGUCUAACUUAGGACUCAGGCCAGUGGCUCUACCAUCUACCAGAACCUGUGAUCUUGGACAAGUGAUUGAAUUCUGUGGAUCCUCCAUUUCUUCAAAACCUAUAAAAUGGGGCAAUAAUGGUAUUUCUCUCCUAGAGUUUUUAUGAGGGUUAAAUAAAGUAAUCCAUAUAAACUAUUUAGCACAGGGUUUGACACAAUGUAAGUGCUCAAUAGAUAUUACUUAUUUUGAUCUGCAAAGAGAUUAGUUACUGCAUAGGGUGGGGACAGAGUGGGUGGGGUGCCUUUAUGAUACAGCCUGGCAAGGUCUUGGACUGAGAGCAGGACCCAAGAAUGUGGUGGGCAUGGGGAAGAGUGUCUGUAGCAACCUUGCUUCUCUCUUCUAGCAGAAAACCUCUCCACCUUUCCAAAUGUAAGUUUGUUUUUCUCCAUCCCAUGCCGUGGCUCUCAGCUAUUUCC
rnacentral:lncRNA from 1 species